CCAAUAGCGUAUAUUAAAGUUGUUGCAGUUAAAAAGCUCGUAGUUGAAUUUCGGGAUCAAGGAAUCGGUCAUGCCUUGGUAUGUACUGGUUUUAUUGGUUCUCACCUUCUAAAGAACUAUAAUGUCAUUCAUUUGAUGUUAUGGGGAAUUAGGACUGUUACCUUGAAAAAAUUAGAGUGUUUAAAGCAGGCUUACGCUUGAAUACAUUAGCAUGGAAUAAUGAAAUAGGACGUUUGAUUCUAUUUUGUUGGUUUCUAGGAUUGACGUAAUGAUUAAUAGGGAUAGUUGGGGGCAUUAGUAUUCAAUUGUCAGAGGUGAAAUUCUUGGAUUUAUUGAAGACUAACUACUGCGAAAGCAUUUGCCAAGGAUGUUUUCAUUAAUCAAGAACGAAAGUUAGGGGAUCGAAGACGAUCAGAUACCGUCGUAGUCUUAACCAUAAACUAUGCCGACUAGGGAUCGGAUGAUGUUAAUUUUUUAAUGACUCAUUCGGCGCCUUACG
rnacentral:rRNA from 1 species